UACGAAGGGGGGCUAGCGUUGCUCGGAAUCACUGGGCGUAAAGCGCACGUAGGCGGCUUUCUAAGUCAGGGGGUGAAAUCCUGGAGCUCAACUCCAGAACUGCCUUUGAUACUGGAGAGCUCGAGUCCGGAAGAGGUGAGUGGAACUGCGAGUGUAGAGGUGAAAUUCGUAGAUAUUCGCAAGAACACCAGUGGCGAAGGCGGACUCACUGGUCCGGUACUGACGCUGAGGUGCGAAAGCGUGGGGAGCAAACAGGG
rnacentral:rRNA from 1 species